CCUACGGGGGGCAGCAGUGAGGAAUAUUGGUCAAUGGGCGCGAGCCUGAACCAGCCAAGUAGCGUGAAGGAUGACUGCCCUACGGGUUGUAAACUUCUUUUUUAAAGGAAUAAAGUGAGGCACGUGUGCCUCUUUGUAUGUACUUUAUGAAUAAGGAUCGGCUAACUUCGUGCCAGCAGCCGCGGUAAUACGGAGGAUCCGAGGGGUACCCGGAUUUAAUGGGUUGAAAGGGAGCAGAGAUGGGUUGUUAAGUAAGUUGUGAAAGUUUGCGGUUCAAACGUAAGAUUGCAAUUGAUACUGGCAGCCUUGAGUACAGUUGAGGUAGGCGGAAUUCGUGGUGUAGCGGUGAAAUGCUUAGAUAUCACGAAGAACUCCGAUUGCGAAGGCAGCCUACUGGACUGCCACUGACGUUGAUGCUCGAAAGUGUGGGUAUCAAACAGGAUUAGAUACCCCGGUAGUC
rnacentral:rRNA from 1 species